rnacentral:rRNA from 1 species
GCCCAGUCAUAAACCUUGAUGAUAAAGUACAAAUAUCAUCCGCCAGGGAACUACAAGCGCAUUGCUCGAAACCCAACGGACUUGGCGGUGCCCCACACCCACCUAGAGGAGCCUGUUCUAUAACUGACAAUCCCCGUUCAACCUCACCACCCCUAGCCUCUUCAGUCUAUAUACCACCGUCGUAAGCUCACCCUGUGAAGGAUUAACAGUAAGCAAGAUGGGCAAAACCCAAAACGUCAGGUCGAGGUGUAGCAUAUGGAGUGGGAAGAAAUGGGCUACAUUUUCUGAAUACAGAAUAUUACGGACAACGUCAUGAAACCUGCCGUUUAAAGGAGGAUUUAGCAGUAAAAAGAAAACAGAGAGUUCUUUUGAAGCCGGCCCUGGGGCGCGC